rnacentral:rRNA from 1 species
UCAAGUUUAUAGAACUGGUUCAGGAUUUGGUAUAAGACUAGAUGGAGGAAAUGGAUUUACAGGGGCAAACAUAAGUCCUCAUUAUGAUAGUUUAUUGGUUAAGACAAUAUCUUGGGAUAGAACAUUCCAAGGAGCAAUAAAUAAAACUAUAAGAUCUAUAAAAGAACUUAGAGUUAGAGGUGUUAAAACUAAUGUAGGAUUCCUAGUUAAUGUUUUAAAUAAUCCUAUAUUCUCAAAUGGUAAAUGUAGUACUAAGUUUAUAGAUGAAAAUCCAGAUUUAUUUGAAAUAACAGAAAGUAAAGACAGAGGAACAAAAUUACUUCAAUUUAUAGGAGAUGUAAUUGUAAAUGAUAAUGCUUGUAAAGAAAAACCACUAUUUGAUGCAUUACAUGACCCAAGAAUGGAUAAGGAUGGUUCAAAAUCAGAAGGAAGUAAAAUACUUUUCGAUAAGUUAGGUAAAUCUGCAUAUAUAGAAAAGAUAAAAAAUGAUAAGAAAUUACUAUUAACAGAUACAACAAUGAGAGAUGCACAUCAAUCAUUAUUAGCAACAAGAAUAAGAACAUAUGACUUAUUAAAAGCUGCUAAGCCAACAGAAAAAUAUCAAAAGGAUUUAUUCUCACUUGAAAUGUGGGGAGGAGCUACUUAUGAUGUUGCAUAUAGAUUUUUAAAAGAAUCUCCUUGGCGUAGAUUACAAAAGCUAAGAGAAGAAAUACCAAGCAUAAUGUUCCAAAUGUUGCUUAGAGCAUCAAAUGGAGUUGGAUAUAAAAACUAUCCAGAUAAUGUAAUAGAAGAAUUUACAAAAGAAUCUGCUAGACAAGGUAUAGAUGUAUUUAGAAUAUUUGAUUCAUUAAACUGGGUUGAAAAUAUGAAACCAUCUAUUAAUACAGCUUUAGAAACUGGAAAAAUUGUUGAAGCAACUAUGUGUUAUACAGGUGAUAUACUAGAUAAGACUAAAACUAAAUACAAUCUAGAAUAUUAUAUUAAAAUGGCACAAGAAUUAGAAAGCUUGGGAGCAGAUAUAAUAGCAAUAAAAGAUAUGUCAGGUCUUCUUAAACCAUAUUCAGCUUACACACUAGUUAAAGAGUUAAAGAAAAAUGUAAAAGCACCAAUACAUUUACACACUCAUGAUACAAGUGGAAAUGGUGUAGCAACUUGUUUAAUGGCGUCAGAAGCUGGAGUAGACAUAAUUGAUGCUGCAUUAGAAUCUAUGGCAGGACUUACAAGUCAGCCAUCGCUUAAUGCUAUAGUAGAGGCACUUAAGAAUACAGAGAGAGAUACAGGAAUAGAUUUAUUUGGAUAUGAUGAGUUAGGAAAAUAUUAUAAGGAUUUAAGAAAAGUUUAUAAUAAAUUUGAAAGUGAUUUAACUAAUUCUUGUGCAGAAAUAUAUAAUUUUGAAAUACCAGGAGGCCAAUAUACAAACUUAAAACCUCAAGCUGAUAGUUUAGGAUUAGUUAAUAGAUUUGAUGAAGUUAAAGAAAAAUAUAAAGAAGCUAAUGAAGUUGUAGGAGAUAUAAUAAAAGUAACUCCAUCUUCAAAAGUUGUAGGAGACUUAGCUAUCUUUAUGACUAAAAAUAAAUUAGAUAAAGACAAUAUAAUAGAAGAAGGUAAAAAUUUAUCAUUCCCAGAUUCUGUUGUGGAUUACUGUAAAGGUAUGAUUGGUCAACCAGAAGGUGGAAUACCAAAAGAUUUACAAGAGGUAGUUCUAAAAGGUGAAGAAGCUAUAACAGUAAGACCAGGUUCAUUAUUACCAGCAGAAGAUUUUGAUGAAAUAGCUAAAUAUCUAAAUGAAAAGUAUGAUAUAAAUGCUAAUAUAAGAAAUGUUAUAAGUUAUGCUUUAUAUCCAAAAGUAUAUGAAGAUUAUAUCAAACAUCUACAACAUUAUAAUGAUAUAUCUAAACUUGAAAGUGAUGUAUUCUUCUAUGGAUUAAAUAAAAAUGAAGAAUGUGAAGUAGAAAUAGAAGAAGGUAAGGUAUUAACAAUAAGAUUAGUUGAAAUUGGUGAAGUUAAGGAAAAUGGAUUUAGAACUAUAGGAUUUGAGUUAAAUGGAAUGGUUAGAGAAGUAGAAAUAAAAGAUAAGAAUUUCUCUGGAAAAAUUAAUAAUGUUGAAAAAGCUGAUAUGAAUGACCCUCUUCAAAUUGGAGCAAGCAUACCAGGAAAAGUUAUAAAAAUAAUGGUUAAAGAAGAAGAUGAAGUAAAAGCAAAUCAACCAUUAAUCGUUAUAGAGGCUAUGAAGAUGGAAACUAUAAUAGUUGCUAAGACUGAUGGAGUAAUUAAGUCAAUCAAAGUAAAAGAAGAUGAUAUGGUUGAAGAUAAACAAUUAUUAAUGAUAAUGAAGUAAUUUAAUUAAAAUAAAUUAAAAAGCACUCUGAAAUGUUUAAUAAAAAAUGUUUUAGAGUGUUUUUAUUUAUUUUAAUUAAAUAUUUGUUAAAAAAAAGAGGACAAUUACCUCCAGAUGUAGAAAUAAAGCUAGUAAGGAAAAUGUUAUCUAAAAAUUCUAAAUAUAGUAAAUAUUUUCCAUAAUAUUUCUUAGGAAAUAACAGCAAAGAUAAAAUACAUAAAUUUAAAAGGUGGGUGCUUAUAUGAAGGUUUAUGAUAGUAAAAUGUUGAGAAAUGUAGCAGUAUUAGGACAUAGCGGAUGUGGAAAAACAAAUCUAAUCGAAACUAUAGCUUACACAGCAAACACUAAUAAGAUACCUAAAUUAACAGACAAGGUAAAUAUGACUUAUAGCAUGGGAUUAAUACCUAUAGAGUAUAAUGAUUAUAAGUUUAACUUAUUGGAUACCCCAGGAUAUUUUGACUUUAGCGGAGACGUUGUGUCAUCUCUUAGAGCAAGUGAUGCAGCAAUAAUAGUAAUAGAUGCAACAGCGCCUAUUCAAGUUGGUACAGAGAAAUCAUUAGAACUAACUGAGAGUAUUCCUAAGAUAAUGUUUAUAAAUAAAAUAGAUAAUGAAAAGGCAAGAUACAAAGAUNUGAAACCCUGCACUUACAAGCUGUGGAAGCACAUUUCUUGUGUGACCGCGUACUUUUUGUAGAACGGGCCAACGAGUUACGUUAAGUAGCAAGGUUAAGCACUUAAGGUGCGGAGCCGUAGCGAAAGCGAGUUUUAACUGAGCGUUCAGUUACUUGACGUAGACCCGAAACCGGGCGACCUACCCAUGAGCAGGAUGAAGCGAAAGUAAAAUUUCGUGGAGGUCCGAACCCACGAGCGUUGAAAAGCUCGGGGAUGACUUGUGGGUAGCGGUGAAAUUCCAAUCGAGCCCGGAGAUAGCUGGUUCUCCCCGAAAUAGCUUUAGGGCUAGCCUCAAGGUGAGAGAUACGGAGGUAGAGCACUGAAUGUCCUAGGGGGUAUUGCACCUACCGAAGACUAUCAAACUCCGAAUGCCGUCAUCUUAUACUUGGGAGUCAGACUGUGGGUGAUAAGAUUCAUAGUCGAAAGGGCAACAGCCCAGAUCGUCAGCUAAGGUCCCUAAAUGUAAGUUAAGUGGUAAAGGAUGUGGGAUUGCACAGACAACCAGGAUGUUGGCUUAGAAGCAGCCACUCAUUCAAAGAGUGCGUAAUAGCUCACUGGUCGAGUGAUCCUGCGCCGAAGAUUUCCGGGGCUAAAACUUACUACCGAAGCUACGGCAUCAGUAAUGAUGGGUAGGGGAGCUUCCCAUACGGGUUGAAGCAUGACCGUAAGGACAUGUGGACAGUAUGGGAGUGAGAAUGUUGGCAUGAGUAGCGAGAUGUGGGUGAGAAUCCCACAGGCCGUAAACCCAAGGUUUCCAGGGGAAGGUUCGUCCGCCCUGGGUUAGUCGGGACCUAAGCUGAGGCCGAAAGGCGUAGGUGAUGGACAACAGGUUGAUAUUCCUGUACUACCGAUAACCGUUUGAGAGAAGGGAUGACACAGUAGGAUAAGCUAAGCACACUGUUGGUUAUGUGUGCCCAAGCAUUGAGGCAGUCAAAGUAGGCAAAUCCGCUUUGAUAAUGCUGGGAUGUGAUGGGGAGCGAAAUUUAGUAGCGAAGUAGCUGAUUUCACACUGUCAAGAAAAGUCUCUAUCGAGGUUAAAGGUACCCGUACCGCAAACCGACACAGGUGGGUGAGGAGAGUAUCCUAAGGCCAGCGAGAGAACUGUUGUUAAGGAACUCGGCAAAAUGACCCCGUAACUUAGGGAUAAGGGGUGCCACCAUCAGGUGGCCGCAGAGAAUAGGCCCAAGCGACUGUUUACCAAAAACAUAGGUUUCUGCUAAGUCGCAAGACGAUGUAUAGGAGCUGACGCCUGCCCGGUGCUGGAAGGUUAAGGGGAUCUGUUAGAGCAAUCGAAGCAGUGAACUUAAGCCCCAGUAAACGGCGGCCGUAACUAUAACGGUCCUAAGGUAGCGAAAUUCCUUGUCGGGUAAGUUCCGACCCGCACGAAAGGCGUAACGAUUUGGGCACUGUCUCAACAACAGACUCGGUGAAAUUGUAAUUCCGGUGAAGAUGCCGGAUACCUGCGACAGGACGGAAAGACCCCAUGGAGCUUUACUGUAGCUUGACAUUGGGUCUUGGUACUACAUGUACAGGAUAGGUGGGAGGCUUUGAAACCAGGACGCCAGUUUUGGCGGAGCCAUCCUUGGGAUACCACCCUUGUAGUACUGGGACUCUAACCAUAGGCCAUGAAUCUGGUCUUGGGACACUGUCAGGUGGGCAGUUUGACUGGGGCGGUCGCCUCCCAAAAGGUAACGGAGGCGCUCAAAGGUUCUCUCAGUACGGUCGGAAAUCGUACGUAGAGUGUAAAGGCAAAAGAGAGCUUGAUUGCAAGACAUACAGGUCGAGCAAGGAUGAAAAUCGGACUUAGUGAUCCGGUGGUUCUGCGUGGAAGGGCCAUCGCUCAACGGAUAAAAGCUACCCUGGGGAUAACAGGCUUAUCUCCCCCAAGAGUCCACAUCGACGGGGAGGUUUGGCACCUCGAUGUCGGCUCAUCACAUCCUGGGGCUGUAGUAGGUCCCAAGGGUUGGGCUGUUCGCCCAUUAAAGUGGUACGCGAGCUGGGUUCAGAACGUCGUGAGACAGUUCGGUCCCUAUCCGUCGCAGGCGUAGGAAAUUUGAGAAGACCUGUCCUUAGUACGAGAGGACCGGGAUGGACGUACCUCUGGUGUACCAGUUGUCCUGCCAAGGGCAUGGCUGGGUAGCUAUGUACGGAAUGGAUAAGCGCUGAAAGCAUCUAAGCGCGAAGCCAACUUCAAGAUAAGAUUUCCCACCGCAAGGGUAAGACCCCAGAAAGACUAUCUGGUUGAUAGGUCGAAGGUGUAAGUGCAGCAAUGUAUUUAGCUUAUCGAUACUAAUAGGUCGAGGACUUGACCAA